rnacentral:misc_RNA from 1 species
AACUUUUGACAAUGGAUCUCUUGGUUCUGGCAUCGAUGAAGAACGCAGCGAAUUGCGAUAAGUAAUGUGAAUUGCAGAAUUCAGUGAAUCAUCGAAUCUUUGAACGCACAUUGCGCCCCCUGGCAUUCCGGGGGGCACACCUGUCUGAGCGUCUCAUGCAUCAAUUGUCACACAUGUUGUGGUGAUGGCCGAUGUGGCGGCUGCCUCCCAGGGGCGACCACACGGCAGAAAAUCAUUGGCGGGGGUCACCUGCGGUUGGCGCGUAGUAUGUUUCCAAAUUCGCAUCAAGUGCAGAGUGUGCCUCCUGUCCUGGCCCACCAGGCCUCUUUAGAGAUCAAUGCAUUCCUCAGAUCAGGUGGGGAUACCCGCUGAACUUAAGCAUAUCAAUAAGCGGAGGCU